rnacentral:rRNA from 1 species
CCCUUAGAUGUUCUGGGCCGCACGAGCGCUACACUGAUGCAUUCAACGAGUCUAAAACCUGCUCUGAUAGGGGUGGGUAAUCUUUUGAAUGUGCAUCGUGAUUGGGAUAGAUGAUUGCAAUUUUUCAUCUUCAACGAGGAAUGCCUAGUAAACGCAAGUCAUCAGCUUGCAUUGAUUACGUCCCUGCCCUUUGUACACACCGCCCGUCGCUCCUACCGAUUGAAUGAUCCGAUGAAUAUCAUGGAUUGAGGAUGCAAGUAGGUUCGCCUAUCUUCAUCUUCGAGAAGUGAAGUAAAUCUUAUCAUUUAGAGGAAGGAGAAGUCGUAACA